rnacentral:rRNA from 1 species
UACGUAGGUGGCAAGCGUUGUCCGGAUUUACUGGGCGUAAAGAGCGCGCAGGCGGUCGUUCAAGUCGCGUGUGAAAGCCCCCGGCUCAACUGGGGAGGGUCACGCGAUACUGAUCGACUCGAAGGCAGGAGAGGGUAGUGGAAUUCCUGGUGUAGCGGUGAAAUGCGCAGAUAUCAGGAAGAACACCUAUGGCGAAGGCAGCACUCUGGGACGGUACUGACGCUGAGACGCGAAAGCGUGGGGAGCGAACAGG